rnacentral:rRNA from 1 species
UGGGGAAUAUUGCACAAUGGGCGCAAGCCUGAUGCAGCCAUGCCGCGUGUAUGAAUAAGGCCUUCGGGUUGUAAAGUACUUUCAGUCGGGAGGAAGGUGGUAAGGUUAAUAACCUUACCAAUUGACGUUACCGACAGAAGAAGCACCGGCUAACUCCGUGCCAGCAGCCGCGGUAAUACGGAGGGUGCAAGCGUUAAUCGGAAUUACUGGGCGUAAAGCGCACGCAGGCGGUUGAUUGAGUCAGAUGUGAAAUCCCCGGGCUUAACCCGGGAAUUGCAUCUGAUACUGGUCAGCUAGAGUCUUGUAGAGGGGGGUAGAAUUCCAUGUGUAGCGGUGAAAUGCGUAGAGAUGUGGAGGAAAACCGGUGGCGAAGGCGGCCCCCUGGACAAAGACUGACGCUCAGGUGCGAAAGAGUGGGGAGCAAACAGG